rnacentral:rRNA from 1 species
UACGUAGGGGGCAAGCGUUGUCCGGAUUUAUUGGGCGUAAAGAGCGUGUAGGCGGCCAUGCAGGUCCGUUGUGAAAACUCGAGGCUCAACCUCGAGACGCCGGUGGAAACCGUGUGGCUAGAGUCCGGAAGAGGAGAGUGGAAUUCCUGGUGUAGCGGUGAAUGCGCAGAUAUCAGGAAGAACACCCGUGGCGAAGGCGGCUCUCUGGGACGGUACUGACGCUGAGACGCGAAAGCGUGGGGGGAGCGAACGGG